rnacentral:lncRNA from 1 species
GGGCUCACAGACUUAAUCCCCAUUUUAUGGAUGGCACAGAGCAGUGAAGUGAAGCAGACUAGUGUGAUCAGGAUUAGAACCCAGGUCCUUCUGACUCCCAGGUCCAUGCUCUAUCCAGUAGGCCAUGUUGCUUUCCAAGUUCACUGUGGGCAGGGAACAUACUCUCCCAAACACUUAGUACAGUGCUCUGCACAAAAUAAGCACUAAUAAAUACGAUUGACCGAUUGAAAUAACCUUCCCAUUUGAUUCUUUUGCAUUAGCAAAUUACUAUUCCACCUGUGGACACCUGCCUUUGGAUUUGAAUGAAAAGCCAGUGAAUCGUGGGCCUUGUUCUAUGUUUCACUUGCAAGACCUGCGUGGAAAUGGGACACAGAAGUUGGGCCUAUGGGAAGAAAUGGAAUUGGAAAUUUCCAUUUCAUUGUGCGCCCGGGCUGCUGAGAACACAUUUGCCUCACUGGCCUUGCUUCCAUACAACAACCAGAAACCAAUGAGGGAAUCUUGUCUAGGACCGAAAAUGAGAAAGGUGAAUAUUUUCCCACAAUAUUCCCAAAUUACAAUUUUACCAUGAUAGACUCUAGACUUUUAGCUCGCUGGGGUCAAGGGUAUGUGUCCACCAACUCUGUUGUACAGUACUCUCCCAAGCACAUAGUACAGUGCUCUGCACACAGUAAGCACUCAAAAAUGCCAUCGAUCGAUUGAUAGAACUGAGAAUGGACUCUGAUGUUGGCUAUUGUCAAAAAGAAGCUCAAAAAAGGUAUUGGUGAAUCAAGAAUAACAUCCAGAUCAUUGGAUAUAUCAGGCUCUCCUUCACUGUCAUUCAAAUCUCAAUGUGACUUUUGUGUCCCAUUGGCAGAAGACCUACAAUUACCCUGACUGGCAUCACCAUUUGGUAGCCCAUUUAGGGCUGGGUGUGGUACUGUCCAUUAUAGAUUUUGGUGGCUCUCUUCCCACCAGAGGGGCUGUCUGGGGGACACCCCAACUUCUGUCUUUGAAGAGAUAAUAGGUUCACUGGCUUUAUUUUGCAUGAAGUCCCUUUACCUUUCCUAGAUUCUGAAGGCCUGUAAAUUGUUUCCUCAAUGUAUACACCUUGACUUUCUUGUAAAAAUUUGGACGCACUGCUUGGCUUCCCCGAUUUCACCUGCUUCUCCUUGGACCAAUGGAGACCAUUAAAUUCAGCAAUUAACUUCUCACAAUGCAGUAGAUGAUACGCCGGUUCUCAGGUAUCCUCAUUACUCCCAUAACUUUUCCAUCUAAUGAGAUAUUCCCAUUUGCCUUUUUUGUCCUUUCUUUUGUCUGCAAUCUUUUCAACCUGAUAGUGAGAGAAAAAUACAAGACAAUUGGCAGAAGUUGUCAUUAAGUCCAGUCACAGAAACAAUAAUAAUAAUAAUGAUGGUAUUUGUUAAGUGCUUACUAGGUGCCAAGCACUGUUCUAAGCACUGGGAUAGAUACGAGGUUAUCAGGUUGUCCUACUUGGAGCUCACAGUCUUAAUCCCCAUUUUACAGAUGAGGUAAUUGAAGCACAGGGAAGUUAAGUGACUUUCCCAGAGUCACACAGCUGACAAGUGAUUAGAACUCACGACCUCUAACUCCAAACCGUGCUCUUUCCACUGAGCCAUGCUACUUCUCAAGAAAGACAAGUGAAGCACAAUAACUUCAUCAUCUCUAAGCUCCUCACUGGCCUUCUCUCCCACGCGCCUCCUCCCUGCAACUAUGUGCUGUUCCCCCACAGAGACCUCUGAUCUUUUGACCCCAUCCAAUUUUCUCAACUCAUCAUGCCCCAGUUAGCCUCCAU